rnacentral:miRNA from 1 species
GACUUCGCUGAACACAAAUAUUAGUGAUUCAAAACAGUAAAACAUAUCACAGUGAUGAUAUUGUCAGUGAAAGUUACUUUUUUGCAUUUUUCACACACAAACAGCACUUUUACUGAUGAUAUAAUUGUUGUGAUACGUUUUCCAGUUUUUUAAACACUAAUAUUUGUGUUCAGCGAUGUC